GAGAGGUCGAGGGAGAGAGAGAGGUCGAGGGAGAGAGGUCGAGGGAGAGAGAGAGAGGGAGAGAGGUCGAGAGAGAGGACGAGGGAGAGAGAGAGGUCGAGGGAGAGAGAGAGGUCGAGAGAGAGGUCGAGAGAGAGGUCGAGGUCGAGAG